AUUGAACGCUGGCGGCAGGCCUAACACAUGCAAGUCGAACGAGUGGCGGACGGGUGAGUAAUGUCUGGGAAACUGCCUGAUGGCGGGGGAUAACUACUGGAAACGGUAGCUAAUACCGCAUACCAUCGGAUGUGCCCAGAUGGGAUUGGCUAGUAGGUGGGGUAACGGCUCACCUAGGCGACGAUCCCUAGCUGGUCUGAGAGGAUGACCGGACACACUGGAACUGUGGCACGGUCCGGACUACUACGGGAGGCAGCAGUGGGGAAUAUUGAACGGUGGGCACAAGCCUGAUGCAGCCAUGCCGCGUGUAUGAAGAAGGCCUUCGGGUUGUAAAGUACUUUCAGCGGGGAGGCGUUACCCGCAGAAGAAGCACCGGCUAACUCCGUGCCAGCAGCCGCGGUAAUAC
rnacentral:rRNA from 1 species